rnacentral:lncRNA from 1 species
GGGGGCGCGCCUGACUACCGCAUUCCAGCGCCAGCUGCGGGAGACUGGGGACAGGUGGCCUGCAGUAAACUGGGGACCACAGGGCGCUGCAUUCCAGCUGGACCGCAACCUCCAAAGAUAUAGCUUGCAUGAAUCACCACUCAGGCUGGCGUGGGCUUUCCAGUGAUGCAGCUGCCUCUGAGUCACCCACACUCCUCAUGAGACAGUGACAUCUACAUUGUGGAAGAACUGGGCAGUGAUGAGGAAUCAGGGCGUACCAUGUGGACACCUACUCACAAUAAUCACUUACUUACUCCACUGGACUCUGUGACUAACUCACAGCAUUAGUGGAUAAUAAUGCUGAUUUACUGUUUGUUUCAUUGGUUUCUAAUUUGUUACUUAGAAUCAGAGCUUUUAAAAAAGCUAGAAUACUUUAAAUAAAUCCCCUGUGAACCCUAA